UCAGGCCUCGACACCGGAGCACCGGCGCUGGUGCAGGCGCGGGUUUGGUUUCAACCGGUGCAGGCGCGGAGGCCUCGCUUUGUGCCUGCUCCUUCAUUUCGACCAGUUUCUGCAUGUCCUCGACCUGCUUUUCAAGCAUGGCGACACGCUGUCCCGAUUCCUGCAGCGCCUUCUCGCGUGCGGUCGCAUCCUCUUCCUGGGCACGCAAUUUUUCCUGCAGGACCCGGGCUUCGUCCGCCUUCGCCGUGGAUGCGGCAGAGGGCGGCGUGACCUUGGACAGCUUCAACACGUCUUUUUGUGCAUCGGUUGCCGGUUUGGCGCGAUCUUCCACCUUGGGUGUGAUCUUGCCACUGCUGGCCUGGUCAGGUGCGGGCUUGGCUUCGGGCGCGGCACUGACUGCGCCGGCCAACUUCUGACGAUAUGCACGCCAGUCUUCAGCCUGCAAUCUGAUUUCACGGACCGCUUCUUUUUGCGAAAUCUCGGCAACCUGGUCGGCCGUGGGCAUAUUGAGCGUCUUGCCCGCUUUCAUCCGGUUCAUGUUUCCGUUGAACGCAUCGGCAUUUUCACGGUACAGGCCCAGCAGCGUCUGCUCCAGGCUAACGCCUUCGGGACGCACCCGGCUGGCGAUCCCGACCAGCGUAUCGCCCCGCUUGAUCAGCACGCUGGCCGGCGAAGCCGCCUGCGAGGCAGGCGUCUGCGGAGCUGGGGCCGGCUUGCGGGGUGCCGGCGCAGCCGCCUUGGGUGCGGCAGGCGCCGCUGUGGCCUGGGGCACCGGGAGCGGGGACCGCCGCAACAGCGGCAGGCGCUUUGGCAGCAGUGC
rnacentral:rRNA from 1 species